GGAACAGCUGGUAUUUUUAGUAAGAAAAAUGGAUACCAGUGACUGUCCUGGGACCAGGAAGCUUUCUAAAUUUGUUUUAUUCAUUGAUAUUGAUAAGCAUCAAGCUUACUGGAAAAUGACUGUGCCUUAAGCACCAGCUUUUAUGGAUUGGACACUAUUGUGAAUAUAAUCGACGACAC
rnacentral:lncRNA from 11 species